rnacentral:siRNA from 1 species
ACUUACUUAUGCUUUAAAAACGAU